AAGGAGUGCCUACAAAAUGGAACUGCAAGGAAGGCAAAGCUGGGAGGGGAUCUGUAGUAAAUGCCUAGCCUAGGUGCAUCCCUGGAGGUUUUCUGGCAGGAAUUUGAGCUUGCAGAGUCCUCAGUUCAAGUGUGCUUAUUGGGAGAUCCUGAUUGCAAGCCUCGGUUUUUAGAAGGUGGCAUGCUGUGGUCUGUGGUGGGGUAUGAAUUCUGCUGAAGUCCGUGCGCUUUGCAGCUGAGCUGCUUCUUCUCACACCAGGAAAAGAUAUUAUUGGUCCAACAAGUGGAUUGAAGAGCAGAGGGGAGAAUAUCUGUCCGUGGAGAUAUCACCUUGAAAGAUUCUGCUAGCUGCAAGAAAAGACCUGAACUUUCAUUUCAACCCCUUCAACAACUGCACAGACUGGAGUGGUUGCUAAAUAAAGUGACAGUGCCUGUUUGUUCA
rnacentral:lncRNA from 1 species